rnacentral:tRNA from 1 species
GCCGCCUUAGCUCAGCAGGUAGAGUACUUGACUUGUAAUCAUGAGGUCUCCGGUUCGAUUCCGGGAGGCGGCU